rfam:Oryza sativa Indica Group cultivar 93-11 Ctg049087, whole genome shotgun sequence.
GCGCCAUUGGUCUAAUGGUUAGGAUUCGUCCCUUCCAAGGAUGAGGUCGGGGUUCGAUUCCCCGGCGGCGCA